CUUUGGAUCAGUGGCAAAUAGAAUUAUCAUCACCAUAUCAUACAAAUCCUCAAACAAGAUGGGGACAUUCCAAAUGCUAACGAUAGCACUAGCUCUUCUUAUGAUUUCCGCAGAUGUUUCAGCGAAGGCUCCAACGCAUGAUAAUGAUAUUUUACCUAAUGUAUGUGCAACUACAGUCCUAGAGCCAAAAAGGAAGUGUGAAACGGCUUGGUGCGUACAUAAUUGUGGGGAACAACCUGGAGGUGGCCGUUGCGACAAUGAUGUCUGUAUGUGCACGAUCUGUACAUUGCCUUUUACCUUAUAAAAGAAGACAGAAGGUCUAAUUUAGUUAGCAGAUUAAAGGUUGAUGUAAGGGAGGUAGCUUUUCCCUAGCUGCUUAAUGGAAAUAAUGUUCACAAUAAAA